CAAUAUUUCACAAACUAUUUUAUGUUGUCUCAUUUAAUUUUAAAUCAUGUGCACUGACAACAACUGCGAGCAUUUUAACGAAUGUUGUUGCGAGCUGAAGACUAAAUCGAUACUUUCGGCUGUGUGGUCUUUAUUGAAUGGAGUCGUUAUGUUCGGUUUGGGCUUAGUCCUGGUUAUUAUAAAACGUGAAGACAAGAGCAAGUACAAAUUCGAUGAUUCAUAUAAGCCACUGUUGAAAAGAAUUAAAUACAUGGAUUUAUUUCGAAUUGUUUUUUGGUUUUGGCUACUAUUUGGUUUUGUAACAAUUAUCGGAGCCGUGUUACACUUUAUCGGGCACUGUCACAAAAAAUCCAAUAUUUAUUUGGCGGGUGUCGUUAUAAGUAGCAUUGGUAUCGUUAUGUGUACCGGAACUCUCAUAUUUCCGGCAGUUUUUCAAAUUUUCUUUUUACUAUGGUGUCUGCAUUACUAUAAACUUGAGCUUGUUGCAUAAACAUUUUAUGGCGAUGAAAUAGAAUUGUCUGUGUUGGAUAAUUUCAACGCUAAAAUAAGUUUUUCGCUUUUCUUAAAUUUUCAUCACUUUUAGCACAAAUUGAUAAAUUUGAUAAACAUUGAAUUGUAUAUGGCCCCAAGCACAAAAUUGUAUCCUAAUUUCAACUUUACUACACUUUACAUUCCGAUCUACUCCCGGCAGUUCGAUUAUAUUUUAUAAAAGCUUAUGCUAAGAUGUCAAAAUGUUGUUUGAAAAAUCAAACAGCAUUUUAAAAUUAAAUACACAUGUAAACAUAAUAUAUCUAGAGACUAUAUUAUUUGAAAUAUGUGCACCGAUAAGAAUUGCGAACAUUUUGGCGAAUGCUGUUGCGACUUACAAACAAAAUCAACACUAACGGUCGUCUGGACAUUGCUACAUGGUUUCUUUAUGACUUCUAUUUCCAUUUUUGGGCUUUCCGGAGUAAUAAUCGUAAUAGAUCCUUUGAAAGAAACUGAUCCUGUUUAUCAAAGGGCAAUAGAACUUGGCAGUUGGGAUAUACUUGGGGAUAUCUGUAUGAACUUUAAUGUAACUUGGCUAGUAUUCGGUGUGAUGACUUUAAUCGGAGGCUCAUUCCAACUAGGUGGACAAGUAACUAGUAACUCCUUGUAUUAUAUAGUGGGUCUUUAUAUGAGUACUUUCGGUAUAGUUAUGAGCACCGGACUUCUAAUAGCCCCUCUCAUUUUUCAAGCUUGUUGCGUUGUAUGGUGCUACAGAUACUGGAAGCUUAACUUUUAGCAAACAAUGCAGAAUUAAAAAAAAAAAAAAAAGGGACCAACACACGAUUUGAUAUUGUAGAAAGACCAUUUUCCUCAGACUUAAAUGUCAAAAUUGAAAUCCACAUUAUUUAAAAACAAAAUUCAUGAACUACACACGUUUUAUCUUUCUGUAAAACGCUAUUUUCGAAAUGUGCUCCGAUAAUAAAUUAGAUCAUUUUGAUGAAUGCUGUUGCAACUUAGAAGUAAAGUCCUUGAUAACAAUUGUCUGGACAUUAAUACAUGGAUUUAUUGUAUUUCUUAUUUCAAUUUUCGGACUUUGCGAUGAAAUAAUCACAAUUGAUCCAGCCAGAGAGAUUGACCCUUUUGCCGAUUGGGUUAUGUUUGUUUCAGGUGUUGACGGAAUAAAUGAAUUAGCAAUUACGUUAUAUACAAUAUGGGUACCAUUUAGUAUCAUAACUAUGAUUGGAGGCUCGUUGCAUUUAGUUGGAUAUGUAAACAAUAACGCUACGUUUUACAAGAUGGGUGUUUUUAUCGGUUCCGUCGGCAUUUUUACGUGCACUGGAAUUUUCCUAGUCCCACUCGUUUUUCAAGCAUGUUGCAUAAUAUGGUGCCACAAAUACUGGAAGCUUAACCUGAACUGAGGGAGAAGAAGAGCUUUACACUAUCGUAGGGGAUUAUUGUGUAUGCUUAGAAAUAAAAGUUUUGUGUCUAGCCAAUCUUUAAGAGUCUUAAGCAGCAAUAACCGUUUUAUGUGGUUGGCUGAAAGAUUUUGUGCUCUAGAUUAUUGAAAUGCUUAAAAAACAAGACUAGUGUGCUGUUUGUUGAUGAACGUCAAAUUCGAAACAGUUUCCUGAAUACAUAUAAUACAUCUCUGUUAGACAUUUAUUAUUAUAUUUUGUGUCUGCUAAAAUGUGCACCGAUACUGACUUCGCACAUUUCCACGAUUGUUGUUGCGAUCUAGAAAUGAAAUCAGUGUUCGCAAGCUUAUGGACUUUAACAAACGCCUGUCUGAUGUUGCUAAUGGGAACACGCUUUAUAAUUAUUAUAGAUAUUUUUGAACCUCCACUAACUUAUUUGAUCAUAUGUGAAUUAUGGUCUGCAGUUUGGGUAACAUUAGCAGUAGCAGCUAUUAUCGGAGCAUUAUUGCAGCUAUACGGACAAUAUAAUAAAAAAUCAAAGUUGUAUCUGGCGGGUUUUAUUUUGAGUUGUGUUGCUACGUGUCUAUUAAUAUUUACUGGUGAAAUUAUAUUCAUUGCGCCUAUUGUUAUUGAAAUCUGCUGCAUAAUAUGGCGCAAGAAUUAUUAUAAACUUUAUCUAGCGCAAAGCAAGCAAAGCCCAAAAAAAAUUGAAGCUCCUUUAAAUGAAAUAUAGUGUGCGGUUUACAUAUGUCAUCAUUUAAGUGUAACACUUUUAUUAUUUUAUUUUACUUUAUAUACAUAUUGAAAGAUGUGCCGUGAACUGAAUUGCGAAGAUUUCAACGAAUGCUGCUGCGAUCUGCACAUGAAGUCCUUGUUCGCAAUCGUCUGGAAUUUUAUACAGGGCGUUUUUAUGUUUGCACUUGGAGUACGCGGUCUUAUAAUCGAAAUUAAAAUUAUGAAAAUUGCUCGACGUAGCGAAUAUCAUUUCGUAAGCCUUACAUGGGUUUUCGGAGCCAUUUUUGUAGUGUGGCUUAUAUUGUCGAUAGCUGCCGUUGUGGGUGCAGCAUUGCAGCUAUACGGACAAUAUGCCAGAAAACCCAAGUUUUAUCUAGCGGGCUUCAUUUUGUCUUGCAUUGGAGUCUGUUUUUUGCUUUUAACUGGUGCAGGACUUUUAAUAAUCACAAUCGUUAUUGAAGUUUUCUGCAUUGCCUGGUGCCGUAAUUACUAUAAAUUCUAUUUGAAGCAGUAAAAAUUAUGUAAUGUACAGCAGCAAUUUUUUUUUCGUAUUUAUUGUAGAGCAUUUA